ACCUGGACCUCCUCCGUGCUUUUGGGGGAACACCGCUCGAGCAUCGAGCCCUGGGUCACCUGUCAGGGGCUUUGCCAGGACCCAGCUGGCUUUGCCGCCCAUCCCACGGAGGACCCUGGGGGUCCCCUUCAUGGGAUCAGCAAUCUUUCCAGCCGGCACAGCUGUGCACCCGGGGCACCUCUCCCUACUUUGGGGGGCUCUAAUGUCCAGACGCUGCCCCCAGGCUGUACCGCUUCCCAGAUGGGGCGUGGCUCUUGUCCGGACCCGUGGCCCUGAGUAAAAUGCGCCUCUGCUGUGAGCACGGUGAACAAUGAAUGAUCAGUCCACCCAUUGACCUGGUUUCUGAGACACCCCUUCUGGAGACCUCUGCCUGCCGGCUGCCCCUGCUGCCAGCCCCACCCUCCUCUGCCGUCAUCCUGGGAGCCCCUCCUCUCUCCUGGGCUAGAUUCCUCCCACAUCUUCCUCUUUUCUUUUUUUGGAAAAAAAAGAAGCCAAAAUUUUA